rnacentral:rRNA from 1 species
CCUACGGGUGGCUGCAGUGAGGAAUAUUGGUCAAUGGCCGGAAGGCUGAACCAGCCAUGCCGCGUGAAGGUCAGUGCCCUAUGGGCGUUAAACUUCUUUUGUGCGGGAGCAAUAAUGGUCACGUGUGGCCAGACGAGAGUACCGUACGAAUAAGCAUCGGCUAACUCCGUGCCAGCAGCCGCGGUAAUACGUGGGAUGCAAGCGUGAUCCGGAUUUAUUGGGUUUAAGGGGUGCGUAGGCUGUGAGGUAAGUCAGCGGUGAAAUGCCCCCGCUCAACGGGGUGAAGUGCCAUUGAUACUGCCUGGCUGGAAUGCGGAUGCCGUGGGAGGAAGGUGUGGUGUAGCGGUGAAAUGCAUAGAUAUCACACAGAACACCGAGUGCGAAGGCAUCUCACGAAUCCGCGAUUGACGCUGAUGCACGAAAGCGUGGGUAUCAAACAGGAUUAGAUACCCGUGUAGUC